rnacentral:rRNA from 1 species
GUGGGGAAUAUUGGACAAUGGGCGGAAGCCUGAUCCAGCCAUGCCGCGUGUGUGAAGAAGGCCUUUUGGUUGUAAAGCACUUUAAGCGAGGAGGAGGCUCUUAAGGUUAAUACCCUUGAUGAGUGGACGUUACUCGCAGAAUAAGCACCGGCUAACUCUGUGCCAGCAGCCGCGGUAAUACAGAGGGUGCGAGCGUUAAUCGGAUUUACUGGGCGUAAAGCGUGCGUAGGCGGCUGAUUAAGUCGGAUGUGAAAUCCCUGAGCUUAACUUAGGAAUUGCAUUCGAUACUGGUCAGCUAGAGUAUGGGAGAGGAUGGUAGAAUUCCAGGUGUAGCGGUGAAAUGCGUAGAGAUCUGGAGGAAUACCGAUGGCGAAGGCAGCCAUCUGGCCUAAUACUGACGCUGAGGUACGAAAGCAUGGGGAGCAAACAGGAUUAGAUACCCGAGUAGUCC